rnacentral:rRNA from 1 species
AAAAGCUCAUGUAAAACAUGAGCACUCRGACUUCCCUUCUCACACGUUAAUGAAUUGGAAAGUUUUCGCGCCUGCUGCGCCCCGUGGGGCGGGGGCGGCGGGACGGGCGCGGGGCGCGGCGGGCG